rnacentral:lncRNA from 1 species
UUCAUUUCUUAAUUUCCUUCUCCAUUCUCUCCUCCCCCUUACUCUUACCAUUCACCCCAUCAGUUGAUGCUUUAGUCGGAUCUAUGCUUUUAUGAACAAUUUCCAAUUUUAUUUCCAUCUUGUUUUCAUUGAAGUCCUUGACAGCCAAUUCAAAAGGACAAAUAAUUUAUAAAUAAAUUUUUGAACAACAAAUCACCAUAUCAUUACUCUGCACGCCCAUUGCUCUAAUAAUUAUUAUAAUUACAUCAGACUUGCUGUUUCCCAGGCUCAAGAAUUUGUGACUGUUGAAGAUGUAGAGAAACAACUCUCCUGGUCUUUUGUCCGUGGUAUUGAUGCCCUCAAAACUUUACUGGACGUAAUUUACUUCUGCCAUUCUCCCAUCUUGUUUCCAUAAAUUAUCUUCUAAUUUUUCAUCAUGUUUUUUCUUUUGCUGAAUCCUGAUAAGACCCUCAUAAAAAUCUUUUGUGGCUUCGGAUUCGAGCGACGAUAACAGAUGUCUUUGGGUCUUGGAUUCGGGAUCGGGUUCCUACGGAUCGAUUCGGCUUGGGGAUGGCGGAUGGCUUCGGAUCGAAUUUCAUGAUUGGCUGAGUUUCUAGAUGGGUAUUUCCAUUCGCCCGAGUUCUCAAAUUAGUUUGAUGCCUGAUAGGUGUAAGGAGAGGAGAGAGAAUGAAGAAGAAAAGGAAUGAAGGACGAAAGUAAAAAAAACAAAAUUAAG